CGGCUUUCGUGUGCAACAGACGUGUGUUUGCGCUUUGAAACCAGAGAAUUCUGAAUAAAGAAACGCGAGCAACAAAUCUAAUUCGAAAUUAAAUAGAAAACAGAAAAACUCAAUGAACAGGCAAAAAGAAACCCCCCCUUAAAUGCUAGAACAAGCAUAAUCCCAAAGAAUUGCUAGCAUACUUUUUUGGGGUUUACGUCAUGUUUGUCUACAUUUAGCGGCAAAGAAAGGAAGGAGAGAGAGAGCGAGAGAGUUGAGAGAGAGAGAGUUUGUUGUUGCCACACACCAUGUCCCGUUGUGCGCCUGUGUCUCUGUCUCUGUCUGCGUCUACGUCUCCAUCUCUGUAUUCGUGUCCAAGAAAUCGCUGUGCAUGUGCCCCCCCAAACACACAAAUCCCCAACAAAUAUCAUCACAAGCGUUCCAGCAUCGUGCAUUGUCCAUUGCAUUUGUUUAACUAAUUGGCUGAAGGUGUUUUGUGCCGUAUUUUACCUUUCAAGCUAAAUGUAGUAAAGAAAGAGCAGCAGAAUCAAAAAAUCAUUAAAAAAAACUGUAAAUUGGUAAAACAAUACUCGCAAACAAAACGUAAAGGCUAAAACAAGGCGUGUUGUUUUGCCGCAACAAUAAACAAAACAACAAACAAAACUACAAGCAAAAACUACAACAAAUAUAGAACAAGAAACAUAUAGUAACAACAAACAUCUACAAGAACAAACGCCGCUAAGUAGAUACAAAAAUCA
rnacentral:sRNA from 1 species